rnacentral:lncRNA from 1 species
GAAAUAUGCUUUGCCCAAAGCAUUGUCUGCAGCAGAGGCAUUGUAAUUCUUAAUAAUGAGCCAAGAAAGGGAAGCUUAGGCACCAGGAACUGAAGCUACACAUCAUUCACUUAAUUAUUAGUGGAUAUUAAUUAUUAUUGCUUAAGCUUGGAACUGAUUUAGAGUUCUUUGAGAUUUCUGGCAUAGCUUUUAAUUUAAGUCUUGUUAAUUUCUGGAAAUCCCCUCCCCACUCAUAGUACUAAAACAUAAAGUAUUUUUGAUAUGUACUACUAUGGUGGUGGAGUCUGCUCUGAUCUGGGUAUUUUAUGGCAGAAAAUUAAUAAUGUAUAAUAAGACAGUAAGUCAAUGUCUUAACACUAAUACCAACAUUGUUUUAAAAUCAGAGGAUGAAGGUCUAAAAGACAAUCUCAAUGGUGUAACUUCUUUUAUCUUACUUGAAGGUACUGAAUCAUGAAGGAAACUAAAGAAUGACUGAACUGAGACUAGAGAUCAAGCUUUCUACACAAACUCCCUCCCCAAAGGGUAGAGAUAUUUCUACUAAGUUCUUGUGAGAAUACAUGUGCAUUGAAGUGUCUGAACUGGAAAUUAAUACUGAGAGACUGGUUAAUAAGGUAGCAUUUCUAAGUAUGUGAAAUAUAAGUAGGGAAAUCUACAGUUAUGUGUGUGUGUGUGUGUGUGUGUGUGUGUGUGUGUGAGAGAGAGAGAGAGAGAGAGAGAGAGAGAGAGAGAGAGACAGAGACAGAGACAGAGACAGAGACAGAGAAAGACAAAGAGACAAAGACAGAGACAGAGGGAGAAUUCCAUGUAUUCUAGAAGGCAGGUAUUUUAUUAGUUUCAUAGCUUUGCUGAUUUAUGAACAGACUUGGACCUUUGAAAGUGUCCCUUGUGUUCUUUACAUUUCUUCCUUUAUUACCAUCGUGUCAGAAAGACACAGGCAUUUGUAGUGACAUCUUCCUAAGAAGUUAUAGAUUCAUGGCAAAACAGAGUAGAAAAUACAGAAAAUUUCCAAUAUAUCCUCUCCCACUCAAAGAGACAAUUCUGACAUUUUGGGUUUGGUAGUCCUGUAAAUAGUUUGUCAUUCAUAUAUAUAUAUAUACAUCUUUAGGAAGUACUGUAGAUGUGAAUUGCAUGGCCCUUUGGACAUGCAGGCAUGUACUAUUGAAGAUGGAUAGGAAAUACUCCUGAUACCAUAGCUUUGGGAUAAUAAGUUUAAAAUCAAAUGUCACAAAUCACUGUUGUUUUCUUAAAUCAAAGUGUAAACUUACUAGAGAAUACUUCAAAAGAGAUUUCUGCUACAGAAAAUUAACUCUCAUUCCAUCACCGAUGUAACCCAAGCAGAUAGUGUUUAUAAUAGGCAGCCUUUAAAUUUUCAAUGUAAAUGGACUAAACUAUUUUAACUAAACUAUAUUAACCUAAGGUUUAGCUAUUUAGAUUUAUGGCUGCAAACAUAGUUGAGCUUAUAUAUUUGAGUUUUAAGCAGAAGUACUGUGGUAGUUAAAAGGGUCUGACUGACAGCUGGUGACCUUGAAAUACAUCUCAGAAGUCACUUCUUCCAUGUAGGUGCUCCAUGCCCUCACUUGUGAAAUAAGGGUGUGGAAUAGCAGUAGGUUUCUGAUAAGUGGUUUGUAGUCCUCUAGGGGAAAUACCUAUUUAAAUCAGAAUCUUCCUAAGCCACAGAGUAGAUGACUGAUAAUACUUUUAAGAUUUAAAGUUCAGGAACAAAUAACUAAGGGGCUUCCUGCUGCGUCUCAAGAUCUUUGCAUAGAAAUUGGCUCUAUUACUCUUUCAGUUGCUGAAUACUUGGAUGGGAUCUGAUGGGCAUGCCUGUGCCCCUGUCCUUCUUGGCAUCUUUCCUUUCCAUCCCUUUUUGACAUUAGUCUCAUAGUGUGCUGUUUGUUAAAGACAGGAAGUGUAUGAAACGUUGGUGAAAUGAUGAUACUUUGACUGUUAGAAUGUGAGCUGUUAUAAAAGACCUCUGCCUCUCACUUAAAAUAGAUACAUGGGUGAGUGGGAGAAAAUGUCCAAUUACUAAAUAAGAUUGAUAAGGGUUUGCUACCUUAGGACAGAGGGUAGGGUGUGUUGCUGGGCCAUUGGGCCACUGGAUCACUUCCCAGGUGAAGUUUAUCUUCAUAUUCUCCCUGUUCAACUGGAGUUCCACUCAGAGUGGUUACAUAAGAAUAUUUUCUCUGCAGCCGGAGAAAUCUAUAAUAUACAUAAUAUACAUAUAUUAUAUAGCAUGCAGAAAGAUUAUGUGAAAGUCACAGUGCAGGGCAGCACAGACAGCUCCCUACUAAGAAAAUAUUGGGAUCACAAUGGUGAAGCCGUGAAGCAAAUAAAUCCUUAAGUUCUAGACACUAGGCAAAUGUGAUGCAAAUUCACCAGAAGCAUAUUUGAAAUGUUCAUUAAUUGAAAGAAGCAGAAGGCACAAAGUAAGCAGAAAUAACAGGACAGUGUAGGGGGGAAAAAGAUAGGUGCUAAGAAUUAAAAUGCGGUAAUUAUAUUAGGAGAGAAAAUCUAUGCAUGUAUUCAAACGGAGGCUAUAUACAAUAGAAGGGAAAAAUGAUUGAAUUUGAAAUGAAAUCAGAUAAAGUACUCAGAGUGCUUCCCUGAGAGAUUAUCACAGAAGUGGAAAACAGAGAGAGACUCCAAGGGAAAUGGAGCAUAGAAAGAGAAGGUCCAACCUGCAGCAUCUCGGGUCCCCAGGGAGCACAGAGCUACAUCAUCUAUAACC